rnacentral:lncRNA from 1 species
UAUUACCUUUCUACAUUUGAAAUGUCACUCUUUUAAAUAAAACAAAAUGUUUUGAAAUGUAAUAGUAGGUUUAUUAUAUACUAAUCUUUAACUGUUCUCUCAUCAAACUAACAAUAACAUUGAUGUUUUUGUUGUAUUACCCCCUCAGCGAUAGUUAAACCUGCUCAUUAGAAUUGACACAAGGGGGAGACAAUCAUCUCAUGUAGAAUUGAUAUAAGGGGAGGCAAUCCUCUCAUGUAGAAUUGACACAAGGGGGAGACAAUCCUCAUGUAGAAUUGAAAUAAGGGGAGACAAUCCUGUUUUGUAGACUUGAUUAAAGGGGAUGUAAUCCUCCUUGUUAUGAAACCAUUUUCAACUGUGAUAUGUAAUAAAACAGC